UACGUAGGGUCCGAGCGUUGUCCGGAAUUAUUGGGCGUAAAGGGCUCGUAGGCGGUUUGUUGCGUCGGGAGUGAAAACUUACAGCUUAACUGUGAGCGUGCUUCCGAUACGGGCAGACUGGAGGUAUGCAGGGGAGAACGGAAUUCCUGGUGUAGCGGUGAAAUGCGCAGAUAUCAGGAGGAACACCGGUGGCGAAGGCGGUUCUCUGGGCAUGUCCUGACGCUGAGGAGCGAAAGUGUGGGGAGCGAACAGG
rnacentral:rRNA from 1 species